ACUCAAAAAGAGAGGAUUGGCUGCCAUGCAGGUGGAAGAAAGCUAGCACCUUGGACAGAGCAGUGCUGGGCAAGAUCAGGGGAAUGAGAGAGAGCUCCUGGCUGACUGUUAACACUGGUAUGCUGAGGCCUUGAGAACACGGACUAUUUGAAUGCACAACGUAUGCUUCACAGAACAUUCUACCACAGAGAUUCAGUCUGGUGCUGUGACUAAUGCAUAGAACCACUGGGGAAAAGGAAAUGCCACAUCUACUCCAUAGGUGUUAAAAUUCCUGUUGCGGCCACUUUGGAUGCCUGAAUUUAUGUUUGGCCUGUGAACUCUUGGGAGAUCCUACACAGUCUGGAACUAUACAUGCCAGGAUGAAAGUACAGUAAUCAAAUUUUCCCACCUCCUACAAAAAAUAACUACCCAUGUAGAAGAGUUGCAAAUAUUGCCAACUGCUUGGAGACAGUGAAGGCUUAAAGGGAGAUUGUGAAACAAAUCCCUGGACUUCACCAUAAGCCUGUAAAUAAAGAAAAGGGGGAUUGAAGCUUAAAGGGUCUGGACCAAUGUCCCCUGAAGUCACUGGGAUCUUUCCUGUUUUGAAUUGCCUCCAAAGGUGCUUUGUAAUGUCUGCAAGAGAUAUUUGCUAAAGAACCAAUGGAAUGAAAGCAAAGAUGUGGAGAUCUGAUGGUUGAAACAUAUCUGUGCUUAACUUCUUGGAAAGAAUCUCUCAAGAACAAUUUGUCUGUGUGAAAAUUGCAACUAUGUAAUACUGCUAAGGUAGCUUCCAAAAAUGAUGGACGCACGGGCUGCAGCUGACUGACUGCAGCAUAAAGAAUAUUGGAAAAUGUAUGCCAAGCCUGUGCAGAAAGUUAAAUAAGGUUUCUUCACCUCUACUGAAACAUCACCAAAGUCAGAAACAUUGCCCUGUGGGAUGAAUUACUUUGUUAAUCCAUGUUUGCAUCUGGUACGAGUCAAGCUUUUCUCCCUAUGAGGAACAUUCAUAUCAUUUGGUAAAUAGUUGUUUGGCUCUAGACCAAGCAGGACCUGCAAAUCCGCCCCCAUUUCUUUAGACUUAAUCUCUGCUGCAAAAGCCAGACCUGGAGACUGAGAAUGGAGGAAUUAUGUCCAGACUACUUUGUCCUACCAGCAAUAAUUUGGCUUAACCCUUCUGUCUCACCCCUAACGUGCACAACAAAGUAACUACAAUUUUUCGUGCCAAACCUGUGCCGCCUCAUACAUUAAGUGUUCUCAGACUAGGAUGAGGUCAGUCUUUCUGUAGUGGUUUUAUCAUUCCAUAUGUUGUGGUUUUCAUGUAGCAAAAAAGUCACUAAAAAGAUAAUGGGCUCAGUAGACACUUCAAUGUUAGUCAGUGCAGAAAAAGAAAGUCUUACAUUUCCAAGGUGUUUGGGGGUCUCUUGGACCCCAAACUUAUAUAAAAAUGUAAAUAAAACAUCAUAGGCAAACCAUUGCUGCUUCUUUCUUUAAGUCUUCUCAAACUAUGAAGAGAACAACUUGUUAGCAUUGGUUUUGUCUGCAUACCUGUUGUGGUUUUGAUAUAACGAAAAAAGUCACUCAAAAGGUAUUGGGGUCAGUUAGACCCCAAAUUAAUGACGCAUGCGUUCCAGCAUCAGAUUGUUUUUAUUUUGAGGCAGUAAUUGUGAUAUGAUUAUAUGAAUCUUUCAGCACUGUUUUUAUCAGAGUUUCAGUGGUUUUGUUUUUCAAAAAAAUGCACCAACAGUGUCUUGGAGAUUACAGUUGCCCCGCGUACCAUCACAAUUGGCCAGCAGAUUGACUUUCUCUGAAGCUAACACUGUCAAAUUGAUUUUUUUCUGGGAAGUCUGCAUGUGCUAGGAAGAGUUUCUGGGAAGGCCACAGUUCUUAGCCUCAUUUUCUGGCAAGCCCACACUUGACUGAUUCUGUUGCUGGGAGAAAGACUCACUGGUGCAUUGCACAUGUCCAUUGCGUGUCCGAUGGCCUGCAUUGUUUGGGUUUUUUUGACUCACACCUGGCGUAAUAAAUCUUUGAGUAAGAGAUGGAUGUUUCUCGGGGACCUCGGUAUAGAAAUAGUGAAACCUCUGGUGCAGGAAAGGAACACUACAGCCUUUCCUCAGGCUUCUAGGUAAGCAGUAUCUAGUGUGCUGGGCACUGAUCUAUAGCCUAAAGAAUGGGGAAGAUGUUACUUCUGUUCCAAAGAACAAGACAGAAAAACACAUAAAAAUUGUGCAAAGUGUAAAAACAUUGUAUGUUCAGAAUAUAUGUCACUUACCGCUCCAUUUACUGCCCCUUUGCUGUGUUUGUGUCUUUUUAUAUUGUUUUUGUUGCUAUCUAUUUUCAUUUUCUAAACUUUGGGUCACUUAAACGCUGACACCUGCAUAGUGUGUAGCUUUUUAAAAAAUAUGUUUGAUCAUGGGGUCAGUUAACCCCCCUCCCCCAACUCAAGUACUGUGUAGCAUGCUUCUGAAUCCAGGUAUGUUUUAAACUUGUUCAUAGUUUUAUAAUUCACUGGUUACAAUAACAUCAGUUUUAAAUGCAUCCCAUUUGUCUUUUCCUGAUUUUUAAAUGCUAGGAGUCUCCAAAAGCCCCAUACAGAAAUAGUUGGGUGAUUUUUGAUCCAAUAUGAGGUUAAUUCACACUUACUGCAUUGAGCAACCUUUGCAAAUAAAGUUUAACAAAUUUUUACAAAAAUAUUUUCUUUUCAUCUGCUGCUAGUGAUCUAAGUAAGAUUUUGACUAUCACUAGAGUAUAUUGGCAUUCAAUAGCAGAAAGUCAUGUGGACUGUAAUGGCAUUCUUACACAGACAAGUUUAGAGUUGCAUCAAUAUUAUUCUCACCUGUAUAGAAAAACAUUCCCAAGGUUUUUGGUUUGGCUAACAUUCUGGCUCUAUGCAUUA